rnacentral:rRNA from 1 species
UAGGGAAUAUUGGUCAAUGGUCGGAAGACUGAACCAGCCAUGCCGCGUGCAGGAAGACUGCCCUAUGGGUUGUAAACUGCUUUUGUCAGGGAAAAAACCCUUCUACGUGUAGGAGGCUGAUGGUACCUGAAGAAUAAGGAUCGGCUAACUCCGUGCCAGCAGCCGCGGUAAUACGGAGGAUCCGAGCGUUGUCCGGAUUUAUUGGGUUUAAAGGGUGCGUAGGCGGGUCAAUAAGUCAGAGGUGAAAGCCUACAGCUUAACUGUAGAAUUGCCUUUGAAACUGUUGAUCUUGAGUGUGAUUGAGGUAGGCGGAAUGUGUCAUGUAGCGGUGAAAUGCUUAGAUAUGAUACAGAACACCGAUUGCGAAGGCAGCUUACUAAAUCAUAACUGACGCUGAGGCACGAAAGCAUGGGGAUCAAACAG